rnacentral:rRNA from 1 species
UUCCAGACUCCUACGGGAGGCAGCAGUGGGGGAUAUUGCACAAUGGGGGAAACCCUGAUGCAGCGACGCCGCGUGAGUGAAGAAGUAUUUCGGUAUGUAAAGCUCUAUCAGCAGGGAAGAAGAUGACAGUACCUGAGUAAGAAGCCCCGGCUAACUACGUGCCAGCAGCCGCGGUAAUACGUAGGGGGCAAGCGUUAUCCGGAUUUACUGGGUGUAAAGGGAGCGUAGACGGUCCUGCAAGCCAGAUGUGAAAGCCCGGGGCUCAACCCCGGGACUGCAUUUGGAACUGUAAGGCUAGAGUGUCGGAGAGGCAGGCGGAAUUCCUAGUGUAGCGGUGAAAUGCGUAGAUAUUAGGAGGAACACCAGUGGCGAAGGCGGCCUGCUGGACGAUGACUGACGUUGAGGCUCGAAAGCGUGGGGAGCAAACAGGAUUAGAUACCCUGGUACAA